UUGCACGCUGGCGGCAUGAUUUACACAUGCAAGUCGCACGGUAACAGGCCGCAAGGUGCUGACGAGUGGCGAACGGGUGAGUAAUGCAUCGGAACGUGCCCAGUCGUGGGGGAUAACUACUCGAAAGAGUAGCUAAUACCGCAUACGAUCUAUGGAUGAAAGCGGGGGACCGUAAGGCCUCGCGCGAUUGGAGCGGCCGAUGUCAGAUUAGGUAGUUGGUGGGGUAAAGGCUCACCAAGCCAACGAUCUGUAGCUGGUCUGAGAGGACGACCAGCCACACUGGGACUGAGACACGGCCCAGACUCCUACGGGAGGCAGCAGUGGGGAAUUUUGGACAAUGGGCGCAAGCCUGAUCCAGCAAUGCCGCGUGCAGGAAGAAGGCCUUCGGGUUGUAAACUGCUUUUGUACGGAACGAAACGGCUCUGGUUAAUACCCGGGGCUAAUGACGGUACCGUAAGAAUAAGCACCGGCUAACUACGUG
rnacentral:rRNA from 1 species